rnacentral:rRNA from 1 species
ACGGAGGGUGCGAGCGUUGUUCGGAAUUACUGGGCGUAAAGCGCGUGUAGGCGGCUUCUUAAGUCUGGUGUGAAAUCCCGGGGCUCACCCCCGGAAGUGCAUUGGAUACUGGGAAGCUAGAGUACCGGAGAGGAGGGUGGAAUUCCUGGUGUAGCGGUGAAAUGCGUAGAUAUCAGGAGGAACACCGGUGGCGAAGGCGGCCCUCUGGACGGAUACUGACGCUGAGACGCGAAAGCGUGGGGAGCAAACAGG